rnacentral:rRNA from 1 species
UACGUAGGAGACAAACGUUAUCCGGAGUUACUGGGCGUAAAGGGCGUGUAGGCGGUUUGUUAAGUCUGGCGUGAAAGCUCUCGGCUAAACCGGGAGAGGUCGUUGGAUACUGGCAAACUAGAGGAUGGUAGAGGCGUGUGGAAUUCCGGGUGUAGUGGUGAAAUGCGUAGAGAUCCGGAGGAACACCAGUGGCGAAGGCGACACGCUGGGCCAUACCUGACGCUAAAGCGCGACAGCAUGGGGAGCAAACGGG